rnacentral:rRNA from 1 species
GUGGGGAAUAUUGGACAAUGGGCGAAAGCCUGAUCCAGCCAUGCCGCGUGUGUGAAGAAGGUCUUCGGAUUGUAAAGCACUUUAAGUUGGGAGGAAGGGUAGUAACCUAAUACGUUGCUACUUUGACGUUACCGACAGAAUAAGCACCGGCUAACUUCGUGCCAGCAGCCGCGGUAAUACGAAGGGUGCAAGCGUUAAUCGGAAUUACUGGGCGUAAAGCGCGCGUAGGUGGUUCAGUAAGUUGGAAGUGAAAUCCCCGGGCUCAACCUGGGAACUGCAUCCAAAACUGGCGAGCUAGAGUACGGUAGAGGGUGGUGGAAUUUCCUGUGUAGCGGUGAAAUGCGUAGAUAUAGGAAGGAACACCAGUGGCGAAGGCGACCACCUGGACUGAUACUGACACUGAGGUGCGAAAGCGUGGGGAGCAAACAGGAUUAGAUACCCGGGUAGUCC